rnacentral:rRNA from 1 species
GGCCUACGGGACGCAGCAGUGGGGAAUAUUGCGCAAUGGGCGAAAGCCUGACGCAGCGACGCCGCGUGAGGGAUGAAGGUCUUCGGAUCGUAAACCUCUGUCAGCAGGGAAGAACGGUCACUGUGCUAAUCAGCAGUGAAUUGACGGUACCUGCAAAGGAAGCACCGGCUAACUCCGUGCCAGCAGCCGCGGUAAUACGGAGGGUGCGAGCGAUAAUCGGAAUUACUGGGCGUAAAGCGCUCGUAGGCGGUAUGUCAAGUCAAGGGGGAAAUCCCCGCGCUCAACGUGGGUCCUGCCUGUGGAAG